rnacentral:pre_miRNA from 9 species
UCUGGAUAGCGUAAAAGUUAACUCAAAUUUGUAUGGAGUUGGAUCGUUUGCCUAUGUUUGCCGCUAGGGGCGCUGUUCCAAUUGCAUACAAAUCGAGUUAACUUUUACGUUAUCGA